AUUGAACGCUGGCGGCAGGCUUAACACAUGCAAGUCGAGCGGGGUGAUGGUGCUUGCACUAUCACUUAGCGGCGGACGGGUGAGUAAUGCUUAGGAAUCUGCCUAUUAGUGGGGGACAACAUCUCGAAAGGGAUGCUAAUACCGCAUACGUCCUACGGGAGAAAGCAGGGGAUCACUUGUGACCUUGCGCUAAUAGAUGAGCCUAAGUCGGAUAGCUAGUUGGUGGGGUAAAGGCCUACCAAGGCGACGAUCUGUAGCGGGUCUGAGAGGGUGAUCCGCCACACUGGGACUGAGACACGGCCCAGACUCCUACGGGAGGCAGCAGUGGGGAAUAUUGGACAAUGGGGGGAACCCUGAUCCAGCCAUGCCGCGUGUGUGAAGAAGGCCUUGUGGUUGUAAAGCACUUUAAGCGAGGAGGAGGCUCUUUUGGUUAAUACCCAAGAUGAGUGGACGUUACUCGCAGAAUAAGCACCGGCUAACUCUGUGCCAGCAGCCGCCGUAA
rnacentral:rRNA from 1 species